CCCUUAGAUGUCCUGGGCCGCACGCGCGCUACACUGACACACGCAACGAGUUUUGCUUGUCCGAAAGGUCUGGCUAAUCUUUUAAAUGUGUGUCGUGAUAGGGAUAGAUUAUUGCAAUUAUUAAUCUUGAACGAGGAAUUCCUAGUAAACGCAAGUCAUCAGCUUGCAUUGAUUACGUCCCUGCCCUUUGUACACACCGCCCGUCGCACCUACCGAUUGAAUGGUCCGGUGAAAUCUCGGGACGGCGGCUUGGUCGCUUGCGUCCGACUGCUGAAACUUGAUUAAACCAUAUCAUUUAGAGGAAGGUGAANUCGUAGCA
rnacentral:rRNA from 1 species